rnacentral:rRNA from 1 species
UACGGGGGGAGCAAGCGUUGUUCGGAUUUACUGGGCGUAAAGGGCGCGUAGGCGGCCACCGCAAGUCGACUGUGAAAUCUCCGGGCUUAACCCGGAAAGGUCAGCCGAUACUGCGGGGCUAGAGUGCAGAAGGGGCAACUGGAAUUCUCGGUGUAGCGGUGAAAUGCGUUGAUAUCGGAAGGAACGCCGGUGGCGAAAGCGGCGUGCUGGACCUCUUCUGACGCUGAGGCGCGAAAGCUAGGGGAGCAAACGGG